rnacentral:rRNA from 1 species
UACAGGGGAGGAGCAGUGUUGUGAAUUACUGGGCGUAAAGGGCCAGUAGGCGGCCAACUAAGUCCGACGUGAAAUCCCCAGGCUUAACCUGGGAACUGCGUCGGAUACUGGAUGGCUUGAAUUCGGGAGAGGGAUGCAGAAUUCCAGGUGUAGCGGUGAAAUGCGUAGAUAUCUGGAGGAAUACCGGUGGCGAAGGCGGCAUCCUGGACCGACAUUGACGCUGAACGGCGAAAGCUAGGGGAGCAAACGGG